rnacentral:lncRNA from 10 species
CAGAGAGAUUCCAGCUCCUCUCCAAUGCUCAUCAAAGAUAUGAGAGAGAUGAAUGCAUAUAACAGAAGGAGUGUGGAUAACAGAUACCUAAGAGAGAAUGAGAAUUGGAAAAGACCGACUGAACAGACAAGGGAGCUAAAUACAGGACAAGAACUGGAACUCACUGGACUGCAAGAGUGAAGGAGUUAUAAUGCUCCUGCUCUCCAAGCUGUGGGUGGCUGGAGUAACAGAGCUGC